rnacentral:rRNA from 1 species
UACGUAGGGGGCAAGCGUUGUUCGGAAUGACUGGGCGUAAAGGGUGCGUAGGCGCUGUAGCAAGUUAGAAGUGAAAUACCUAGAGCUUAACUCAGGUGCUGCUUCUAAAACUGCUAUACUUGAGUGCAGUAGAGGAAAGUGGAAUUCCUAGUGUAGCGGUGGAAUGCGUAGAUAUUAGGAGGAACAUCAGUGGCGAAGGCGACUUUCUGGACUGUAACUGACGCUGAGGCACGAAAGUGUGGGGAGCAAACAGG